rnacentral:rRNA from 1 species
AGUUGAUCCUGGCUCAGGAUGAACGCUAGCGGCAGGCUUAACACAUGCAAGUCGAGGGGCGAGCGGGAUGUAGCAAUACAUUGCCGGCGACCGGCGGAUGGGUGCGUAACGCGUAUGCAACCUACCUUAUACAGGGGAAUAACCUUUCGAAAGGGAGACUAACACCCCAUAGUAUUGAUUUAAGGCAUCUUAGAUUAAUUAAAUAUUUAUAGGUAUAAGAUGGGCAUGCGUAUGAUUAGCUAGUUGGUAAGGUAACGGCUUACCAAGGCGACGAUCAUUAGGGGUUCUGAGAGGAAGGUCCCCCACACUGGUACUGAGACACGGACCAGACUCCUACGGGAGGCAGCAGUGAGGAAUAUUGGUCAAUGGGCGCAAGCCUGAACCAGCCAUGCCGCGUGCAAGGAAGACGGCCUUAUGGGUUGUAAACUGCUUUUACAUAAGACUAACCGUAUAUUUGCGAAUAUACCUGAAUGUAUUAUGAGAAUAAGGAUCGGCUAACUCCGUGCCAGCAGCUGC